rnacentral:rRNA from 1 species
GACGAACGCUGGCGGCGUGCUUAACACAUGCAAGUCGAACGAUGAAGCCGGAGCUUGCUCUGGUGAAUUAGUGGCGAACGGGUGAGUAACACGUGAGUAACCUGCUCUUGACUCUGGGAUAACUGCGGGAAACUGUAGCUAAUACCGGAUACGACCCUCGGAGGCAUCUCCUGGGGGUGGAAAGAAUUUCGGUCAAGGAUGGACUCGCGGCCUAUCAGCUAGUUGGUGAGGUAAAGGCUCACCAAGGCGACGACGGGUAGCCGGCCUGAGAGGGUGAUCGGCCACCCUGGGACUGAGAUACGGCCCAGACUCCUACGGGAGGCAGCAGUGGGGAAUAUUGCACAAUGGGCGCAAGCCUGAUGCAGCGACGCCGCGUGAGGGAUGACGGCCUUCGGGUUGUAAACCUCUUUCAGCAUCGACGAAGCGAAAGUGACGGUAGGUGCAGAAGAAGGACCGGCCAACUACGUGCCAGCCGCCGCAGUAA